rnacentral:rRNA from 1 species
UACGGGAGGCAGCGGUGGGGAAUAUUGGACAAUGGGGGCAACCCUGAUCCAGCCAUGCCGCGUGAGUGAAGAAGGCCCUAGGGUUGUAAAGCUCUUUCAGUCGUGAAGAUGAUGACGGUAGCGACAGAAGAAGCCCCGGCUAACUCCGUGCCAGC